rnacentral:rRNA from 1 species
AUUGAACGCUGGCGGCAUGCCUUACACAUGCAAGUCGAACGGCAGCACGGGUGCUUGCACCUGGUGGCGAGUGGCGAACGGGUGAGUAAUACAUCGGAACAUGUCCUGUAGUGGGGGAUAGCCCGGCGAAAGCCGGAUUAAUACCGCAUACGAUCCACGGAUGAAAGCGGGGGGCCUUCGGGGCUCGCGCUAUAGGGUUGGCCGAUGGCUGAUUAGCUCGUUGGUGGGGUAAAGUCCUACCAAGGCGACUAUCAGUAGCUGGGCUGAGAGGACGACCAGCCACACUGGGACUGAGACACGGCCCAGACUCCUACGGGAGGCAGCAGUGGGGAAUUUUGGACAAUGGGCGAAAGCCUGAUCCAGCAAUGCCGCGUGUGUGAAGAAGGCCUUCGGGUUGUAAAGCACUUUUGUCCGGAAAGAAAUCCUUGGCCCUAAUACGGUCGGGGGAUGACGGUACCGGAAGAAUAAGCACCGGCUAACUACGUG